rnacentral:pre_miRNA from 2 species
AAGGUUACUUGUUAGUUCAGGACCUCAUUACUUUCUGCCUGAACUAUUGCAGUAGCCUCCU